rnacentral:rRNA from 1 species
AGUUGGUGGAGUGAUUUGUCUGGUUAAUUCCGUUAACGAACGAGACCCCCGCCUGCUAAAUAGUCCCGUGAAUGGAUGUUCAUUGACGAGGUCUUCUUAGAGGGACUUUCGGUGACUAACCGAAGGAAGUUGGGGGCAAUAACAGGU